rnacentral:lncRNA from 1 species
AGCCCGAUCAAGCUGGAUCCUGGGUCCCUCCUCUGGAAGCCUGGCACGUUACCUCAGGGAGAGCAGGCUCUCUCCUUGGUUUGGUGAACAGCUGGAACAACACAAGCAAAGGAAGAAAGCAAGAAAGAUGAGUGUGCUCCCCGUGGUCAUUCAUUCAGCCAGAAGCCCCUAUGCUAGGCACUAGGGAGGGCUUGGCUGCUCCUCCUGGAUCCCAGAGACCAUCCAGGAAGACAAGCAGAUGAACUCUUCUGAGCUGUCCCUGAAAGCAUUUUAGAGAACUCAGAAGAGAGUAGUUCAUUUGGAGAGAGAGAGAGAGAGAGAGAGAGAGAGGAGAGAGGAGAGAGGAUUCUCCACCUCACAAAGUACACCUUUGUCUGUUGACUGAACUGCUACAUGUUCCCGAGCCCAGCAAUACCAGCUGGUAGGGUAGGGAGUGAUGUUGAAAUAUCAGUUCCCCUCUCACUGUGCAGAAAUUCAAGUCACUUGUAAAUCACUUUUUUUUUUUAAGACAGGAUCUGGCUAUGUAGUUCAGGCUGGCUUUGAUCUCCCUCUGUAUCCUAUGCUGGUCUUGAAUUUGCAGUGAUCUUCCUGCUUUAGCCUCUGAGUGCUGGGAUUACAUGCAUGUGGCACCAUGCCCAGUCAUAAGUCACUUUUUAAGCAGCC